rnacentral:lncRNA from 1 species
GCGGUUUGCAACCUGAAGAGUGACGGUUCGUUGUUGUGUAGUUUUCUCCAACAAAAAGAUGUUGGUGGUGAUUUGGUGUCGGUUGAAAACGAUGGCGGAGAAAUUUGGAGUUGGUUUGUGAUGAUGAUGAUAUUUAAUAAAUAAUAUGAAUGAAGUUUUUGUGUGUUAUGUUGAAGAUAGAGUUGAGUUGUGUUUGAGAGAUUGAAAAGUGAAAAUAUUUUUUCUAAGUUUUGUUGUUGCUUGGUGGUUG